rnacentral:lncRNA from 1 species
GGCCCUUGUUAAAAUGUGUGGGUGGACCAAGAACGGUGAGAGUUUCCACAGUGGCCCCUGUUUGACGGUAGCGCUCUAAGUAUUUUACGAAUAUUAACUCAAGAACUCCUCGUUCUACCUUUCUGAGGUGCUCCUGUCAUUUACAGAUGAAGAAACUAAGGCACAGAGAGGUUAAGGAAGUUGCUCAAGGACACACAGCUGGUGAAUUCACAGCACCAAACACCAAAGCGGCCUUUUUCUCUACUAGACAAAGUAAGAUGAAUAUUUCGUCUGCUGCCCUUAUGAGACACCAUCCAAGCUGAAGGCGUCGGUUUUCAAGAAGCAAUUCCAUUGAGAUGACCAUUUGCGCUCUGGGUGCAUUUUGAGAUUGUGGCUUAUUUUUACAGGGCUCCAAACUAUCCAUUUUGACAGACACUCUGAUUUAUAGGAAGGCCUGAUUAAUCCUAAUGGCUAUUUUUUGCUGUGAUUGGCUUGGAUUUUCGUAUUUUAGUAACGUUUCGUCAACGUCCUGGUGACUCAGACAUAAAAGGAAUUGCCUACUUCCCCAUCAACUGACCGCCUAGACGGCAGCA